GUGAGGAAUAUUGCGCAAUGGAGGCAACUCUGACGCAGCCAUGCCGCGUGCAGGAAGAAGGCGCUACGCGUUGUAAACUGCUUUUAACCGGGAAGAAACCCCAGGACGUGUCCUGGGUUGACGGUACCGGAGGAAUAAGCACCGGCUAACUUCGUGCCAGCAGCCGCGGUAAUACGAAGGGUGCAAGCGUUAUCCGGAUUCAUUGGGUUUAAAGGGUGCGUAGGCGGAGCGUUAAGUCAGUGGUGAAAACCUGCAGCUUAACUGUAGACUUGCCAUUUAUACUGGCGCUCUUGAGUGCGCUUGAAGUGGGCGGAAUGUGCCGUGUAGCGGUGAAAUGCUUAGAUAUGGCACAGAACACCAAUUGCGAAGGCAGCUCACUAAGGCGAUACUGACGCUGAGGCACGAAAGCGUGGGGAUCGAACAGGAUUAGAAACCCUAGUAGUCC
rnacentral:rRNA from 1 species